rnacentral:rRNA from 1 species
CCUACGGGUGACAGCAGUGAGGAAUAUUGGUCAAUGGCCGGAAGGCUGAACCAGCCAUGCCGCGUGAAGGUCAGUGCCCUAUGGGCGUUAAACUUCUUUUGUGCGGGAGCAAUAAUGGUCACGUGUGGCCAGACGAGAGUACCGUACGAAUAAGCAUCGGCUAACUCCGUGCCAGCAGCCGCGGUAAUACGGGGGAUGCAAGCGUUAUCCGGAUUUAUUGGGUUUAAAGGGUGCGUAGGCUGUGAGGUAAGUCAGCGGUGAAAUGCCCCCGCCAAACGGGGUGAAGUGCCAUUGAUACUGCCUGGCUGGAAUGCGGAUGCCGUGGGAGGAAUGUGUGGUGUAGCGGUGAAAUGCAUAGAUAUCACACAGAACACCGAUUGCGAAGGCAUCUCACGAAUCCGCGAUUGACGCUGAUGCACGAAAGCGUGGGUAUCAAACAGGAUUAGAUACCCGAGUAGUC